UCAAAUUUCUCUAUGUGGAUUACUCAGAUAUAUUGUGCUAUGAUUGUUUAACCAUCAAAUCAUGCUUACCAGACAAAGGCAUAUGAUUAUGGGGUGUUACAGGAGCCAAGUGUUCUAGGACUAAAAUAUAAAGUGAUAUUAUCUUAGUCUGCUCUUUUUCUUUGACCAAGGAUGGAAAUAGGUGCAGCCAAAGGUUAAAUGCGUGUUUUAGGUUUAUGAUUUAAAUAUCUGACUUCAAUACAUUUAACUAAUUAUCUGACUCCAAUUUAUAAUACCUGUUAACUUCAUAAUCUGACUCCAAUUUACUAGGUUAACUUAAUGUAACUGAUUUCAAAGAAUAAUCUUUUAAGGAUAAGCAGUAUAGAAGAUGGAUGGAUGGAUUGUAUAUAUGUAUACGGUCAGGAAUGUGACCGUGGAAACAAACAAGCGGUUCUCCAGAAGCCACUGCAGGACUUGACGGACAUGGAGAGUAUGCUCAGUGAGCAUGCGGGAGAAUAUCAGGAUGUUGUCCAACUAAACAAACACUAAGCGAUUCAUGAAGUCCUGGAGUACAUCAUUGACGAGAGCUUGAAACACAGCUGGGGCAUUGGUGAGGCCGAAAGGCAUGACCAGGUUUUGAACUGACCCAGAGCGGUGUUGAAUGCAGUCUUCCAUUCGUCCCCUGCUCUGGUAUGGUGGUAUGCGUUCCAUAGGUGUGACGAUAGUGGCCCCAUGCAGAGGCUGAAAGGCGGAGUUGAGGAGUGGCAGGGGGUACUUUUUCUUCACUGUGAUGUUGUUGAGGCCCCGGUAAUCAAUGCAAGGAGGGAGGACCCUCAGUCCUUGCAUUGAUUACCGGGGCCUCAACAACAUCUUAUCUUUCUUGGCCACAAAGAAGAAGCCAGCACCCAGGAAGGAGGAGGAAGGUUGGAUCAUGCCGGCAGCUAGGGACUCCUUUAUGUAUUUCUCCAUGGCCUCUCUCUCAGGCCAGGACAGGUUAUAGAAACGACCAGAGGGAAGGGCAGCCCCAAGGAGGAGGUUGAUAGCACAGUCGUACGGGCAAUGAGGUGGUAAGGAAAAGGCCCAGUCCUUACUAAAAUCCUCACCCAGGUCAUGGUUCUUGGGAAGCACAGUGGAGAGGUCUGGAGGAGUGGGCAUCUGGGAACCUGUGGUGGCUGCAGUGGGAGGAAGGGCUGAUUUCAGGCAUGAAGAGUGACAAAAAGGAAGAAUGAAUAUUUACGAUCCUCCCUGCUGACCCCAGUCUAUGUGAGGGUUGUCUCUUUUAAGCCAAGAAUAGCCUAGUACCAGCAGGUCACAUAAUGAGGAGAUGAGGUUCAGCUGAACCUUCUCAUAGUGGUUCCCAGAAAACACAAGGAGCAAUGGGGCAGUGCAAUGGGUGAUCUGGGCCAGGUAUUUCCCAUCCAGGGCAUUGACAGUAAUGGGAAGAUCCAGGGACUUGAUGGGUAGGCCAGACUGUGACGCUAACUCCUUAUCCAGGAAGUUAUCUUCAGCACCUGAGUCGAUAAGUGCGAGGAGGGAAACGGAGAGCUGGUUAGGGGGUAGGGGGUCAGUAGUGGCAGCUGUUUGGCUCACCAGUAGCCCCCAACCUACUGAUGAACCCUUCCCCUUUAAACAUAAGGAGCAGUUAGCCAGGGCGUGGCCUGGUUGGCCACAAUAGAAGCAUGUGCCUGUCUGGAAUCUUAUCCCCCACUGAGCAGGAGUAAGUCUGGUCUGACCCAGCUGCAUGGGUUCUUCCCCAGGUCACUUGGUGUUAGGUGACAGAAUUCUGGGACAGGACUGAGGCUUGGGGGCAGGAUUGGCAGAUGAAUGAAGAAGAGAACUGGAGGUGAAAGGUGCCUGGGGUUGGCUAGUUCUCUCUUUGUGCCGCUCCCACGAUUAUCCAACCUGAUAGCCAGGGAGAUUAGUUGGUCGAGGGAGUCUGACACUGGGACAUGUGCUUCCUGGUGUGGUGGACUGGAAGAGGCGGCAGACUGAAUGACCAGGGCAGGCUGACUGGGCUGGGGGCCAGGGGGUGUCUGGGCCAGUUGGGGGAGGAUGCUGUUUAAUUGCUGGUUGAGGAGCCCGAGCUGGUCCACCAUGGCCUGGUGGCUCUCAGUGAGUGCACAGAGCUAUAGUUCAUGUUGACCCAGGAGGGUUCCCUGAUGGGACAGCGCUGACUGCAGGGGAGCUGGCUCUGCUGGGUUCAUGUUGGCCCGACUGAGUGUUGUCAAAGCCGGGGCUCAAACUCAGGUCGGCAACAUGCGAGCUGAGGAAAUUUAUUAGUUUAAUUUGGUGCAAACAUUGUACAAUUACUUAAGAAGUAUUUACUAUGUGAUAAAACAAUAGAAACCUUUAGAAAUUUGCAAAAAAUAUCCUUAUAUCUCCAACAGACUUACUGAAUUGCAGUGUUUGGCAGUAGCAACUGGUGAGAUGCUACUAGGUCACCUAUAUUUUAAGUAGCUGUUUUAAAUUUAUUGUAGCUUUUCCAUUAAUGAACUACCUUUUCAGCAAGUGGUGUACUGCAACAAAACAAUACACCACCUUUUCCUUUUUCACAUAACCAUUCUUUCAUUUAUUUUCAUCUUCAGUAACCGAUUUAUCCUGGUCAGAGUUUUGAUGGUUCCAGAGUCUGUCCCGGUAAACACUGGAUGAUUCAGGACUCUAGGAUUGUGGAGGUGUGACAUGAAUUAUUCCUUUGAAAAUGCCAGGGAGAAAGAAAAACUAAUACAACAUGCAUGAAUUAAGUUGGCUCUUACCACUGAUUGUGAUCCCAAGCUCGACUCCUCUCUUCUUUGGCAGCUUCACAUGAAAGAUUCAUGGUAUCUACUUGAAUAUACAAACCUGCUACAUCAAACUCAAUCUCUAGCAUGACCUUAUUAGUCAAAGCAGCAUCUCGGAGCAGCUGAUUGGCCUCCUCCAUCGUGCCAUCCUCUGUGGGAAUGCCAUUGAUUGACAAGAGCCGGUCGCCAACCUGGAGCAGCCCACACCUGCCAAUCAAGCCAGCAUCAUUAAAAUAAUGCCAACUAUGUUUGAAGUAACCAAAAAAAAGAUCUGAGUCCCUAUCUAAUAUUGAACUCUCACAUCUACUGCAACCUUGUGCAACUUGUUUGUUUUUGUUUUUUUUAACACAGUAAGACACAGUAAGACCUUUGAUACAUCCUAUGAUGAAAUAAUUUGCAGAACAGAAAGAAAGUGCCACUUGCUGACUUGAUUGAUGUGAGGCGGUAAAAAUGUGCCAGAAGAGCUCUUUUGCAGAAUAAUAAUGAGCUGCACUAAUCAAACAUAGCAUUGUUUCCUGUAAUUAUAAAUGUAAAUGAGAAUACAUCUGCCAUAUAACUGCAAUGGAAUGGAAAUGAGUGAGUUUUACUGUGAUUUCUGCAAUCCUAUCAUUAAAAAUAAUCUAACAAAGCCAUUACUUUUGGGAUUGCAUACAAGUAAUACAUGGGUAAUUCUUUCCACAGCUAUCAGUUAGGUACUGCUGUCAUCUCUUAUGCUCCAUUUUCAAGCAUGACUCAUGU